UGAUUUUGACAGCCCGAGAUUCAUCAGAUUGUCAUUCACGCGCGAUGUAUUUUCUGUCGUUCUACCUAUUUGUGUUUGCUAGUGCUCUUAUCAAGCUAAGUUAAAGAACAUAAUCACGUCACUGCAAACGGGGUGAACGUUACAACUUUCCUCCCAGUACCACCAUCUGCGUCAUUCUACACAGGAGGCCAUCAGGAGUUUUGACCCGCCGAAUGAUCCGUACACAGGACUACCCCGUGGAGUUUUCUUGUACGGAGCCCACACUGUGUACGGAGCCGGAGAUAAGCGCAUUGCCGUAGCAUUCUACACUGUUUACGAUCUCACACGGACAUGUUUUGGGAGUUGUUGCUGUCUGCCUGGCGUUUUAUCUCCCGUUGUACUGUCAUACUUUUCUCCUUGACUCUACCAAGUUUCCCUUGCCACCAUGCUAAACUUCAAGCACAAGAGGGACCGCACGUGAUCGAUGUUCUUCCACCCAGCGGACCGGCGUUUCAAAUUAAGGCUACUGAACUAGACCCAGUCGACAAAAUUUAUGAAAAAAUAUUGGAUGUCACAAGAAUGACGAAGACUUCGUUCAAAAUAUUCACCCCCGGCAAAAAAGGUUCGUCAUCCUUGUCAGGGAGGAUCUAGAAGUAAGACCACAGCGACCAAACCAACAUUCAAGAACAACUGGUGAUUCGACUCUUCAUGGCGAGGAGACACGUGACUGCGGAGGCGCUUGCAACUGUCACAAUUUCACGUCAAACAAAGAGGAGAACUGUGAUCUUCCAGUGGGUCGCAUCAAAGAUGCUAUUCGAUCAAAACGUGCGGUCGCUGACGAUGUGCCGUCUUGAGUGCCGUUCAAAAGGAAUUGGAACCUUUUGCAUGGACCGAGACCCCGCGCAGCAAGAUUCUCCAACACGUCACCUGCACGCUUGAAUCCUCCCCACUGCGACCGAUGCCCCGUUCUCGCGCACUGUCUAAACCGUCCCCAUUGCAACCUUUAUAUUACGACAAGUACAUGUGACUGCGGUUUGACUACAUUUUCCCACGAACAAUAGAUUCAAUGGCUUAAUCAUAUUGUGCUAGGGUACUGUCAUAUGAUAUUUGUAACACCAUAAUUCUUGAAAUGUGUAGUCUCAGAUGUCGUGAAGUUGUGAUGCCACAUGUUGCCAGUAGUCUCUGAUUGUUCUUUCUCUCGUGUUCAUGUUUGACCACUGAGUUUAUAUAAUAGAUACAAGUAUAAUCAAGCUAAAUAUGAACUCCAAAGGGUCCAUCCCUCUGUACAUUGCAUAAUUUGUAUUGUAACCAGUAUUUUUAUGUGUUCAGUUGUAUAGUUUUGCCCUUUUCCUUACCAAUCAAUACACCUAAUUGAAAUGGACUAA